rnacentral:rRNA from 1 species
GUUGCUGCGGUUAAAAAGCUCGUAGUUGGAUUUUGGGCGCAGGCGGCCGGUCCGUCGCAAGGCGUGCACUGGCCGACCUGGCUUACCUUCGGUUCCCCGCCGGUGCUCUUGACUGAGUGUCGGCGGCGGCCGGAACGUUUACUUUGAAAAAAUUAGAGUGUUCAAAGCAGGCGGUUCGCCUGAAUAAUGGUGCAUGGAAUAAUGGAAUAGGACCUCGGUUCUAUUUUGUUGGUUUUCGGAGCGCGAGGUAAUGAUUAAGAGGGACAGACGGGGGCAUUCGUACUGUGCCGUUAGAGGUGAAAUUCUUGGAUCGGCGCAAGACGAACGACUGCGAAAGCAUUUGCCAAGAAUGUUUUCUUUAAUCAAGAGCGAAAGUCAGAGGUUCGAAGACGAUCAGAUACCGUCCUAGUUCUGACUAUAAACGAUGCCAACUAGCGAUCGGGGGGCGUUAGUUUGACGACCUCCCCGGCAGCUUACGGGAAACCAAAGUCUUUGGGUUCCGGGGGAAGUAUGGUUGCAAAGCUGAAACUUAAAGGAAUUGACGGAAGGGCACCACCAGGAGUGGAGCCUGCGGCUUAAUUUGACUCAACACGGGAAAUCUCACCCGGCCCGGACACAGUGAGGAUUGACAGAUUGAGAGCUCUUUCUUGAUUCUGUGGGUGGUGGUGCAUGGCCGUUCUUAGUUGGUGGAGCGAUUUGUCUGGUUAAUUCCGAUAACGAACGAGACUCUAGCUUGCUAAAUAGUUACGCGACCUUCUCGGUCGGCGUCUAACUUCUUAGAGGGACUAGUGGCGUUUAGCCACACGAGAUUGAGCAAUAACAGGUCUGUGAUGCCCUUAGAUGUUCGGGGCGCACGCGCGCUACACUGACCGGAUCAGCGUGUGCUCACCUUGGCCGAAAGGUCUGGGUAACCCGUUGAACCCCGGUCGUGCUAGGGAUAGGGAAUUGCAAUUAUUUCCCUUGAACGAGGAAUUCCCAGUAA